GCAAUUAUAAUACGUAAGUCUCGCCCACAUGAAUUCUAAUAUCUUCUCAUUUUCCUAUUUUUUUUAAAUAUUUAUAAUUUGAAUAGGAUUUUUUUGAGGAUUGUGAUUUGAGAUAAGGUGUGAUUUGGGAGUUUGUGUGUGGUUUGAGAGUGAGAGUUGUGGGUACAUUUAUAGGAAAGCAAGCCUCGUUAAUUCCUCGUAAGGUAAAUCGUCGUUAAUACCUCGUACAAAAAAACACGGGCCUUUGUGAUUCCUCGCAAUUUCCUCGUAAAA
rnacentral:lncRNA from 1 species